rnacentral:rRNA from 1 species
GAUGAACGCUGGCGGCGUGCUUAACACAUGCAAGUCGAACGGUGAACACGGAGCUUGCUCUGUGGGAUCAGUGGCGAACGGGUGAGUAACACGUGAGCAACCUGCCCCUGACUCUGGGAUAAGCGCUGGAAACGGCGUCUAAUACUGGAUAUGUGACGUGACCGCAUGGUCUGCGUUUGGAAAGAUUUUUCGGUUGGGGAUGGGCUCGCGGCCUAUCAGCUUGUUGGUGAGGUAAUGGCUCACCAAGGCGUCGACGGGUAGCCGGCCUGAGAGGGUGACCGGCCACACUGGGACUGAGACACGGCCCAGACUCCUACGGGAGGCAGCUGUGGGGAAUAUUGCACAAUGGGCGCAAGCCUGAUGCAGCAACGCCGCGUGAGGGAUGACGGCCUUCGGGUUGUAAACCUCUUUUAGCAGGGAAGAAGCGAAAGUGACGGUACCUGCAGAAAAAGCGCCGGCUAACUACGUG